UACAGAGGUCUCAAGCGUUGUUCGGAUUCAUUGGGCGUAAAGGGCGCGUAGGCGGCACGGCAAGUCGGGAGUGAAAGGCCUGGGCUCAACCCAGGAACGGCUUUCGAGACUGCCGAGCUAGAGUGCGGAAGGGGCAACUGGAAUUCCCAGUGUAGCGGUGAAAUGCGUAGAUAUUGGGAAGAACACCGGAGGCGAAGGCGGGUUGCUGGGCCGACACUGACGCUGAGGCGCGAAAGCCAGGGGAGCAAACGGG
rnacentral:rRNA from 1 species